UACAGAGGGUGCGAGCGUUAAUCGGAAUUACUGGGCGUAAAGCGUGCGCAGGCGGUUCGUCGUGUCCGAUGUGAAAGCCCCGGGCUCAACCUGGGAAUGGCAUUGGAAACUGGCGGACUCGAGUGUGGCAGAGGGGGUGGGAAUUCCGCGUGUAGCAGUGAAAUGCGUAGAGAUGCGGAGGAACACCGAUGGCGAAGGCAGCCCCCUGGGCUAACACUGACGCUCAGGCACGAAAGCGUGGGGAGCAAACAGG
rnacentral:rRNA from 1 species